GCCCGGAUGGCGCAAUGGUAGCGUGUUCGCCUCCUAUCAGAAAACCUACUGGUCAGGCAGGUUAGCGAGAGGUUGUGGGUUCGAGUCCCACUUCGGGUG
rfam:Valsa mali strain 03-8 chromosome 3, whole genome shotgun sequence.